UGGCAAGUAAAGCAGGUGCUUUACGCUCAUACACGUCCCUCAGUCUCCACAGCUGUUAGAACAACACAGGAGUCCGUUGCCUUUGUGCCCAAGCUCCUAAGGAAACAUGGAUGUCUGAGUUGGUUCCACUGGGGACGGUUGGGCUCUCCAGUGCCGGGGUUAGAACCCAGGGUUUGCUGCUGAGGGUAACCGGGCAGUGCGAUGCAGUGGGAAUCUCUGCCAUUGCUCCCAUGGGACACAGGGCAGGGCGGAGGGGACAUGAAGGCCAAGUCUGCCAACAAAGGGGUCACUCGGGUGCUCUGAUGGCAGGGUGCUGUGCUCUGGGUUGGGGGUUAAAAAGGCAGUGUGUAACCUGAAGGAUUCAGCAGUGUGAUUCUGGUCAGGGUCCCAGGGCUAACAAGAGGAAACAGCAUCAGACAGAAAGGUCAUAAGGAAAGAAAAUCCUACCCAGCUACUGCUCCUUUCUCUUACAGGAAAAAACAGAGGCAGAGGAGGAGGAGGAAGAGGAGGAGGAGGAAGAGGAGGAGGAGGAAGAGGAGGAGCAAUGAGGAGGAAGCAGAGUCGGCAGCAACGCUCAGGUCUGGCUGGGCGUCAGGAUGGUGACAGACCUGGGCCACACUCAAGCUGUUCCUAGCUCUUCAUUUCCUCCUGGCCUGGACCACAACAGAAAAAGAGCUGGACGUGAUCACUCUCCCACCCUGUGAGCUGAGAACAAUACAGACUAUCCACAAAGUCUCCAGGCUGUAAUUCCAGAAAAGCCAUUUCAGAAACAAAA
ensembl:antisense Gm43118 predicted gene 43118